rnacentral:rRNA from 1 species
AUACGGAGGGAGCAAGCGUUAUUCGGAAUCACUGGGCGUAAUGGACGCGUAGGCGGGUUUGUAAGUCAGGUGUGAAAUCCUACAGCUCAACUGUAGAACUGCACUUGAAACUACAGACCUAGAGUAUGGAAGGGGCAGAUGGAAUUAGUGGUGUAGGGGUAAAAUCCGUAGAUAUCACUAGGAAUACCGAAAGCGAAGGCGAUCUGCUGGGACAUUACUGACGCUGAGGCGUGAAAGCGUGGGGAGCAAACAGGAUUAGAAACCCCUGUAGUCC